rnacentral:rRNA from 1 species
UACAGAGGGUGCAAGCGUUGUUCGGAAUUAUUGGGCGUAAAGGGCGCGUAGGCGGUGCGGUAAGUCUGUAGUGAAAUCUCUGGGCUCAACUCAGAGUCUGCUGCAGAAACUGCCGUGCUUGAGUGUGGGAGAGGUGAGUGGAAUUCCCGGUGUAGCGGUGAAAUGCGUAGAGAUCCGGAGGAACACCAGUGGCGAAGGCGACACGCUGGGUCACACCUGACGCUAAAGCGCGACAGCAUGGGGAGCGAACGGG